UGCCACGACUUUUGCAGCCUUGCUAUAGCCCAUGGUUUUUCCCAAAAAUUGGUCCCGAAAUGAUCCCCCAACAUUUCCUGAUCCAUAUUGAUGUCCUAUAUACUGAUGAGUGAUGGACCUACGUUAAUAAGAAAAGGGUUUCUCAAUGGCCAGACUGCAAUGCAUUGGGCAGCUAAGUUACAAUUACUGGAGGCACUGAUGUUCAGUGGUGGGAAAGUUGACAUCAAAUCAUUACUUUGUGUGUACUAUCAACUGAUGAGAAGAAACUGCUGCAAGAUGAUAUUCAUUAUUUUACUAAUUGGAGUUACUGCAGUAAGAAUAGAUGUAUCAUUUGGAUAUUGAUUCUUCUCAUGCUAAUAGAGAGCAACACCGACUACUACAAGCUUAACUAUGCUUUUGUUGAUCCUCCACUGCCUUAUAAAAAUGGUCAGCGUGUCAGCUAUGUUGCAAACAUUGACAUUUAUAAACAGGAAAACUGGCACCUUGUACAUAUUUUUGCAGCAGUUGAAGAGUCUUUUGGGAACAAGACAAUUAAUGUGGCCAUAAUAGAUGAUAACUUUAAUGCUUGUGACUUAGCUGUUGACAUUCUGCAUCGACCUUGUCCCAUACCUCCUGGAAAUUACAAUAUAUCUGGGACGUUUGACAGCUUUAAUUUGUUUCCAGUGGUAAACUGAAUAAUUCAUGAAGGUGCAUGUAAAUCACUUAUUAUAAAUAGGGGCAAUAUUUUGUCAAAACUGCUGUCUUUACAGAACAAGGAAAGAAAAUUGUUUGUCUUACUGCCAAUUUUACUGUAAUAAACUAGAUGUGUGUGUACAUUAAAAGUGUAUAUUUGAUACACUUUUCAUUCAGAAUUGUAGUGAACGUAUAUACUGUUUUCGUAGUUGAUAUGUUAGAAA
rnacentral:misc_RNA from 1 species